rnacentral:rRNA from 1 species
GUAGUCCACGCCCUAAACGAUGUCAACUAGCUGUUGGGCCCUUCGGGGCUUAGUAGCGCAGCUAACGCGUGAAGUUGACCGCCUGGGGAGUACGGUCGCAAGAUUAAAACUCAAAGGAAUUGACGGGGACCCGCACAAGCGGUGGAUGAUGUGGAUUAAUUCGAUGCAACGCGAAAAACCUUACCUACCCUUGACAUGUCUGGAAUCCUGAAGAGAUUUAGGAGUGCUCGCAAGAGAACCGGAACACAGGUGCUGCAUGGCUGUCGUCAGCUCGUGUCGUGAGAUGUUGGGUUAAGUCCCGCAACGAGCGCAACCCUUGUCAUUAGUUGCUACAUUUAGUNUGGAGCACUCUAAUGAGACUGCCGGNUGACAACCCCGGAGGAGGUGGGGUUUUUNNNGUCAANUUCCCCAAUGGCCCCUUNUUGNUUGGGGUUUCCAAA